rnacentral:rRNA from 1 species
AUUGAACGCUGGCGGCAGGCUUAACACAUGCAAGUCGAGCGGGGUGAUGGUGCUUGCACUAUCACUUAGCGGCGGACGGGUGAGUAAUGCUUAGGAAUCUGCCUAUUAGUGGGGGACAACAUCUCGAAAGGGAUGCUAAUACCGCAUACGUCCUACGGGAGAAAGCAGGGGAUCACUUGUGACCUUGCGCUAAUAGAUGAGCCUAAGUCGGAUUAGCUAGUUGGUGGGGUAAAGGCCUACCAAGGCGACGAUCUGGAGCGGGUCUGAGAGGAUGAUCCGCCACACUGGGACUGAGACACGGCCCAGACUCCUACGGGAGGCAGCAGUGGGGAAUAUUGGACAAUGGGGGGAACCCUGAUUCAGCCAUGCCGCGUGUGUGAAGAAGGCCUUAUGGUUGUAAAGCACUUUAAGCGAGGAGGAGGCUCUUUUGGUUAAUACCCAAGAUGAGUGGACGUUACUCGCAGAAUAAGCACCGGCUAACUCUGUGCCAGCCGCCGCGGUAA